rnacentral:rRNA from 1 species
AGGGUGCGAGCGUUAAUCGGAAUUACUGGGCGUAAAGCGCAUGCAGGUGGUUUGUUAAGUCAGAUGUGAAAGCCCGGGGCUCAACCUCGGAAUUGCAUUUGAAACUGGCAGACUAGAGUACUGUAGAGGGGGGUAGAAUUUCAGGUGUAGCGGUGAAAUGCGUAGAGAUCUGAAGGAAUACCGGUGGCGAAGGCGGCCCCCUGGACAGAUACUGACACUCAGAUGCGAAAGCGUGGGGAGCAAACAGGAUUAGAUACCCUGGUAGUCCACGCCGUAAACGAUGUCUACUUGGAGGUUGUGGCCUUGAGCCGUGGCUUUCGGAGCUAACGCGUUAAGUAGACCGCCUGGGGAGUACGGUCGCAAGAUUAAAACUCAAAUGAAUUGACGGGGGCCCGCACAAGCGGUGGAGCAUGUGGUUUAAUUCGAUGCAACGCGAAGAACCUUACCUACUCUUGACAUCCAGAGAACUUUCCAGAGAUGGAUUGGUGCCUUCGGGAACUCUGAGACAGGUGCUGCAUGGCUGUCGUCAGCUCGUGUUGUGAA